GGUUGACCUCGGAUCAGGUAGGAAGACCCGCUGAACUUAAGCAUAUCAAUAAGCGGAGGAAAAGAAACCAACAGGGAUUGCCCUAGUAACGGCGAGUGAAGCGGCAACAGCUCAAAUUUGAAAUCUGGCUUCGGCCCGAGUUGUAAUUUGCAGAGGAAGCUUUAGGCGCGGCACCUCCUGAGUCCCCUGGAACGGGGCGCCACAGAGGGUGAGAGCCCCGUAUAGUUGGAUGCCUAGCCUGUGUAAAGCUCCUUCGACGAGUCGAGUAGUUUGGGAAUGCUGCUCAAAAUGGGAGGUAAAUUUCUUCUAAAGCUAAAUACCGGCCAGAGACCGAUAGCGCACAAGUAGAGUGAUCGAAAGAUGAAAAGCACUUUGAAAAGAGGGUUAAAUAGCACGUGAAAUUGUUGAAAGGGAAGCGCUUGUGACCAGACUUGCGCCGGGCUGAUCAUCCGGUGUUCUCACCGGUGCACUCUGCCCGGCUCAGGCCAGCAUCGGUUCUCGCGGGGGGAUAAAGGCCCUGGGAACGUAGCUCCUCCGGGAGUGUUAUAGCCCGGGGCGCAAUGCCCUCGCGGGGACC
rnacentral:rRNA from 1 species